CUUCUUUAAGCCUUACUCUUCUAUUAGGUUUUUAUGACUCUCUCUAGAAAUUCAUUUUCAAAUCAUUUCAUUAUAAUUUUGGGAUUUAAUUAGAAGUCUUAAACAACUAAUUAAAGAGAAAUUUUAUUUAUUUACUUCCAGAGAUUUUAUCUUCUAUCAAAAUAUUUUGGUCCUGCCAAAAUAAUUUAAAUUAGCCUAAACAAAGCAUGGAUCAAUUUAUAAAUCAAGAGCUAAAUGGGCCAAUUAAUAUAUAGAACUUAGCUCAAGAUGAAAUUAUCGGCAGUGGGCUAAAGGGAUACUUCUUACACUAAUUCAAAUUGAGAAGAAUUAAUUAGAAAUUAGCCCAAUUAUAUAUAUAUAUACUCCUUACGUCUCUUUCCCUUUCUCCCUCAACUCUCUCUCUAUUUCUUCUCCCCCUCGCCUCUCUCUCUCGAAUCUCGAAUCUGUCGCCGCCGCUGCACGGGCGGCGGUUCCCCGGCCUCCCCACGCCUCGCACUGCCAGAGCAGUUUCCCGACGCCCCGACGGCCGCUGCCUCAUCGCCGACUCCUGAGAGGUGGGUGAAAUCAGUGAUGCAUCGGGCUGUGGGGCUGCUACUGUCGUCGAUAGGGUGCCGAAGAUUAGUCGCCGGAGUCCCGACAGAUUUAUACUCUCGAGACAAGUUCUUAUUUUGUGAAGAAUUGUUAUUUGUUGUUUUGGUAGCUAAAGUGAAGAAUUGUUAUUCUUGAUCUACAUGCUUAUAUGCAAAUUUUGAGAAAAGAAAAGUGCUUGGAGUUUACCUUCAUUACGUGGGAAAAUGUGUUGUUGGAUUGUGGGACUUGACCCUGUAAUUGUUUGCAACUCUCCCCCUUUUCUUACUCCUUCUCUCUCCUUUGGAUGGUUGAAAGUUUUGGAGUGAGUUCCUAUUGUUUUGAACAUACAUUGGCGGAUGUCGGUGACGUGUUGGACUUUGUUGGGAUGCUAGCAGUGUUGGAAUUAUUCCGUGUGCUUUAUAUUCGAUUAAUUGGGUAUAGGCUGAUAUUCGGUGUGAUGAAAUUUGUCAUGGACUACACUCUUAUCCACUGUAUGAGACUAGGUGAUCGGGUUAACCCUUUUGCUGUACAGAUACUGAAGUCGGGUCACUAGCGAACGGUUGCAUGUGAGUAACCCCCUAGAUAGGUUAGCCAUGGCAUGUAUAGGAGUAGAAUGCAAUUUAGGACAGUUUUACUUCUUUCUACACCUUUGCUAAGUACGUGUGUUUUUGUGAAUAGUUGUACGAACUGGGCCUAUGUAAAUAUAUAUGCAUAUAUUAUAGUUUUUCUA